rnacentral:rRNA from 1 species
GUCGAGGGGCAGCRYRGUGUAGCAAUACAYKGRYGGCGACCGGCAAACGGGUGCGGAACACGUACAGAACCUUCCUUCGAGCGGGGAAUAGCCCAGAGAAAUUUGGAUUAAUACCCCAUAGUAURUUGRARWGGCAUCWYUUYAAUAUUAAAGAUUUAUCACUUGAAGAUGGCUGUGCGGCUGAUUAGGUAGUUGGCGGGGUAACGGCCCACCAAGCCURCGAUCAGUAACUGGUGUGAGAGCACGACCAGUCACACGGGCACUGAGACACGGGCCCGACUCCUACGGGAGGCAGCAGUAAGGAAUAUUGGUCAAUGGACGMAAGUCUGAACCAGCCAUGCCGCGUGGAGGAUGAAGGUCCUCUGGAUUGUAAACUUCUUUUAUMUGGGACGAAAAARGGYYUUUCUARRUCAWCUGACGGUACCAKAUGAAUAAGCACCGGCUAACUCCGUGCCAGCAGCCGCGGUAAUACGGAGGGUGCAAGCGUUAUCCGGAUUCACUGGGUUUAAAGGGUGCGUAGGUGGGCUGGUAAGUCAGUGGUGAAAUCYCCGAGCUUAACUUGGGAACUGCCAUUGAUACUAUCAGUCUUGAAUAUUGUGGAGGUUAGCGGAAUAUGUCAUGUAGCGGUGAAAUGCUUAGAUAUGACAUAGAACACCAAUUGCGAAGGCAGCUGGCUACGCAUAUAUUGACACUGAGGCACGAAAGCGUGGGGAUCAAACAGGAUUAGAUACCCUGGUAGUCCACGCCCUAAACUAUGGAUACUCGACAUCAGCGAUACACUGUUGGUGUCUGAGCGA